rnacentral:lncRNA from 1 species
CUGUAACAGGAUAGAUAUUAUGUAAUAAAUUUAUGAAUUAUAUGUCCAUGUUAUAAUUUGUAGACAACUUUUUCUUUCAAUCUUGAAAAUUAAUUGCAAUUUCCAUGAUGCUCUCUUAAGGAUUUCAGAGAAGAAAACAUAGAGUCUAUCAUCACUUUCAGAGCCAUUCUACUGAAUCAUGGAAUGCCUUUCUUCAUUUUAUUAUCCUCUUUCCUCCUGUCUUCUGAUUUCUCAGAGCUCGACCAGCACUUUAACUUACUCCCAGCAGUCAAACAGAAGAUUUUCUUUUUCUUUUUCAAUCAACAUGUUGGAUGGUUUCCUUAACUCUGCCAGCCUCAGAUGAAGCUAUACAUGAAAUAGUAGCAGUAGUAGAUGUUAAGUAGCCAGUGAACUAUAUUCCAAGAGCAGUAAAAGGCUAUGGGAGUAUUAUCCAGAACUUAUUUUGGAAACUCUUAUCACAUGUUUUC